CUAAAUAACAGUACGGGAAUGCAAAAAAAUCGAAAGAAUCUUCCUGGCCUCUAAGACUCCCGUGGCUUAGAUUACUAUCAGAAGUUCCCGAGGAGCUGAGAAGAGAGACCAUAGCCAAUUAGAAAACUCAUGCGCGAAGGAUGUGAAGUCUACAUUUUUUUACUGCUGAUAUAUAUCUAGACCAAUCUUUUAGCUAUCCUUCUACUCGCCUGCCUACCUUCAUCCUUAUUCUACCUUUGUUAGCUCGGAGCUUCUCUCUUGGCUAGCGAUCGUAAGGGCUUUGAGAGCAUUGUCAGCCUGAAGACGGACGAGCAAUCGCCUAAUCCAAAGGCAGGAACAGGAUGCGGUAGAGACGGUUCAGCGGCCCAUCGAAAGACGGUCCGGGCUGCGAAAAUGAAGACCCAUCCUUCGGGGUAGUAGGGCCUUGACCUUCCUCGUCACUACACAAUCGAUGUUAGGCUUGACACUUACUGAGUACCGCUGUGGUGUAGUCAUGUCCUUUAUGCACAUAUUUUUUAUGUGCAGAACCAGGUACCUCUGCUCAGACUCACUAUCCUUGAGGCAAGGCGCUCCGUAGAGACUUCGAGGUAUAUCUGCCGCGUCCGCAGACUAAGGAGUCUCUUUCCAUUCAUGAUUUUUAGUGUUUAGCCCUUUUGUAUUUUCUAUUCUAUUUAAACAUUCCGGAGUUAGAACUAUGUAGUAUUUCCUAGCUUGUGAUUCGUAGAUUUUCGGGUCUUGGAUUUGUGUAUUGGAAUUGAGAGUUAAACAUGAUGUAGGUCGAGCGACACACUUAAACACUGUUAGUACUUAUUUAUGUUUUAAAUAGUUUUACUUUCCACAAAUUUUGUUUUUUCUUUCGCAAUUUAGGCUUACCUAGUCGUAGAGACUAGGUGCCGUCUUGAUAGUUCACGGAGGGCGAACCGGGGUCGUGAAAGUAAGCUUGAAAACUGUGAUUUUUCCAAAAAUCCUUUGAAUAAUAAAUAGAAUAUUUCAUUUCCUGAUAGCACGAGGAAAAUACAUCUUUAUGCCUAUAUGUCAAGAUACACGUAAAAUCAUAAAUGUCACCAAAAUCGGGUAGUAGAAGAAAAUGCAUCUCAAAGCAAGUAUCUCAAGUACACAUGCCAAAUGCAAUGUAUCUUAGUGAUUAACUCUUGUACUCACACUCUCAGAAUAGUCAAUCUCACUGUCUCGCAUUCUCUAUCACCAUGCUCAAUAUUCAGCACAAUCAAUCACUGAGCAUUAUACAAUAUCUACUGCGGCGUGCAGCCCGAUCCACAUAUAUUCAUAAGUCCUGCAUAGGAAAGCAACUUUGCAGACCAGUAAGUGAUCCUAGCUGUGAUUUUCUCAAUGAGGGGCAGGUACUGAUGUAUAGAGAGUUUCUUUGAAUCCAGUGGUGCCCAAGUAUCUAAAAGGAAGCUUGCCUUCACUGAAGCCCAAGAGUUCUCUCAAUUCAGUCUUAACCUCUUGUGGUACCCUGCAAGGUAGAUAGCACUCUUGGUUGUAUUUGCUUCCAGUCCAAAAGCCUUAGAAAAUUGAAGGAAUGUCUGGUGUAAUAUCUGAAUGGAGACGGUGUCUGCACGACAGAACAUAAGUAGAUCAUCUGGAAAGUCCCUUUGUUGAAAUUCAUCUGCCUAACUUUAUCUUUUAGAAUCAAAUUACAUUUUGAACGUUAAUUAUCCAUUAUUCUAAUUAAGGUUCUCUAACUAUGUGCAUAAUAAUCGUGAUGAUAUCUAAUCUAACACGCUAGAUAAGCCAUUAAUAAUUAUUUAAUUCCCAUGAAUGUUUAAUAAGUCAAGUAUGUAAAAGCAAAUAUCUGAAUCUCAUACACUUUCCACGAAUUGGUAAUGGGAAUGGCAAUAUGGCGGAGCGGGUUUUGUUUGAUGCAGAGCGGGACAAGUUUUCUCUUGUGCAGGUACAGGAUGGGUUAAAAUAAUUUUUAAAAUUUUAAAGCGGGGCGAAUUGCGAAUUUAAUGCAGGUUCAACGUGGGAAAACUUUAAAUUUCAUCAUUUUUAAAACAAAGCAAUAACUUUAACUACUAUUUUACAUUCUUUUUUAUUAGCAUGGAUGCAAUUUUGAAUUAUCAUUAAUCAACUUGAGUAAGUAUCAACAAAAUGAUAGUACUAAAAAUUUUCAAAUUUUAUGUGGUACGAUUUUUAUAUGAGGUUGAGCACGUGAAGCAUUUUUUUUUAAUGUCAUGCUCCUAGAUUAUAAUAUUAGCAAAAAUUUUGUGACAUGCGUGAAAACUAAAUAUAUAAUAUAAGAGAAUGCAUGUGUGUAAUUUUUAAAUUUUUCCUCCAUGUGGGUUUUUUUCUUUUCGAUUUUGAAAAUUUUAUUCUUUUAGGCAGGAAGAUUCGUUCAUAGCUUCAGCUAAGCUCUCUACGCAGUUUUCCAAUUCACUGCCCAGAACAGUCUUUUUUCAUUUCUAUAUUUGUUUGUAUUUGUCAGCGUAUGGAUAAAGAAAGUAAAACAGAACGUUAACUAUAAAAAUACGUGUACUGACAUCUAUAUUACAUCUAAUAUGGGAUUUCGGUGCUGUUUAUCCUCCUAUAUUUAAUGUGUCACAUAAUAAAAAUACUCGUUCUUCAUAUAUUUGUAUGACUGGAGUAUAUCAAACUAGUUUGUUUUAGAAGAAAAAUAUAAAAGAAAAAAGAAAAAAACUCAAGUGGGGCGGGGCCGGGAGGGGGGGGGGUCCAAGAUGGGUGGUACUGGGCGGGUUGAAAAUUAAAAAAAAUAACUAUGCGGGGCGGGUUGAACUUUUUGUGGGUUUUGCCAAACCCGCCCCGCACCUGCCUGCCCCGCCCCAUUACCAUCCUUAACUGGUAAUACAAAUCAUGAACUUCUAAGAUUAAAUUUUAUAAAGGUGGUAUGAAAUAAAUACAUCAUUUGUUUGAAACGUACAUAAACAGAUUUUUAUGAUUCAAGGCUACCAUGAAAAAGAUGCAGCUACAACCGGAACGCAGGUACGUCUUCAAUUCCAUCUCUCAUCGAUCACAGCAACGUCAACAUCCCACAUUUGCACGCAAGGUGCAGAAGUGUAGUAUGAGUGCAACCAACCUCAUGUACUCAAUAAGUAACAAACUUAACCUUAGGUUGAAUGUGGUGACAAGCUGGAACAAAGGUCGGUCCGACAUCAAUAGCCAACAACAGUUAAUGACAACAUAGUGCAAGUAAUAAAAGAAGUAUCUCAGAAGUAGAAUGCUCAACUCGUCCGCAGUUCUAGAAAACAUGCAUGUUUUUCAAGUAUCUCAGUAAAAACCCAAAUCUUUUACCGAAAUUUCCAAGAAAAUAUAAGUAAGUGUGACGACUCGACUGGUCAUCUUAAGAAUUAAUGGCCCGAUCCCCUAAUAACUAUUUUUCCCAAGUUUAUUUCUGCUAUUUUGAUUUGCCGAGAUGUUCGGUUUUGAGUUUCAGAGAGUUGUAGAACACUUAGUCACUAAAUGAGAGCUUAAAUAUUAGAAAGUUGACCGUAGUCAGAGCAGUGUGAAGACGGCCUAGGAAUAGAAAUCAGAUGGUUUCGUUCGCUCCGUUGGGUGAUUUUGAGCUUAGGAGCGUGUUCGGGUUAUGAUUUGGAGGUCCGUAGCUAAUUUAGGCUUGAAAUGCUGAAAGAUAAAUUUUUAGAGUUUCCGGUCCAAUAGUGAAAAUUUUGAUCAGAGGGUCGGAAUGGAAUUCUGGAAGUUGGAGUAGCUCUGUAGUGCUGAAUAUGACGUUUAAAAAAUUUCACCAUUCGGACGAGGUUUAAUAGACUUUUUUAUCGCAAACAUAUUUUUGAAAAUUUUGGAAUUUCUUAGGCUUAAAUCCAUGGUUAAUUCGAGGUUUCGAUGUUAUUUUAGGUGUUUUAAGAAUUUGUACAAGUUUAUAUAGUGGGUUGUGACUUGUUAGUGCCUUUGGUUGAGGUCCCUGAGGCCUCGGGAUGAUUUCAGAUGGUUGACGGAAUGAUUUUGGAAUUAAAGUUGUAGCUUCAGCUGCUGGUUCGGUCAUAACCGCACUUGCAGUUUGAGUUCAGUAGGUGCGGCGCCGCAAAAGUGGAAGUUGGCUAUCUCCUAAGGAACCGAGAUGCACGCAGAUGGGGGUAGUUUAUCGCAAAAUGGUACGGAACCUAUGGAAGGGUAACCGCAUAUGCGAAAAAUGGGCAUUUAAGUGAAAGUCGCAAAUGCGUCUAGGCUCUGCAGAAGCGAGACUGCAGAAGCGACACCGCAGAUGCGGUCCCAGGGCCGCAAUUGCGAAAAUUGCUGGGAAGAACAUAUAAAUUCUUGCCUUUGCGAAAGUUAGCCAUUUUUCAUCAUCUUCAAAAUGGGAAGAAGCUUGGGAAGCACUUUACAUGAGUGAUUCUCAGUGGGCCUUGACCUCAAUUGCGAAAAUUACUGUAGAUUCUCAAUUGUACUGCUUAUCUUGUCAUGUCAUCUCAUUAUUUAUUUAAUCUUUUUCAACUUAUGCCGUUGGACUGGUCAUCUGUGAAGCUUUGAGUAGCCUUCUUUCUCCCGGACCGGCAAAAAAGAGUCCUUCUUUCCCAAGCGAUUCUGUUCUGUCUGUGGCUUCUUCUAGUUCAUGUGCAGCCUACUCGUGAACAAGCCCUGCUAACAGCUCAUUUUCCAGCAUUCCUUUCAAUUCUUUCAACCGAUUUGGCAACUUUCAGCUAUACAAAGUUAGGUGAUUUACCGGGUCGACAUUCAUCUUGAUUUCGGCCUUUAUUUUCUUCCUUUGAAACGAUUGACCUGACCGGCUUGAAACUUGAUUUGGGCAUGGAAUUAGACCAAGGGGAAUCUCUAUAGGAACUAGUCCCUUAUAUUUCACACAUAGGAGAUCGAGACACUGCCCCAGGGCUAUGGGGAAAGAUGUAGAUCGAUCGCCAGCUAUCCUUCUACUCGCCUGCCUACCUUCAUCCUUAUUCUACCUUUGUUAGCUCGGAGCUUCUCUCUUGGCUAGCGAUCGUAAGGGCUUUGAGAGCAUUGUCAGCCUGAAGACGGACGGGCAAUCGCCUAAUCCAAAGGCAGUAACAGGAUGCGGCAGAGACGGUUCAGCGGCCCAUCGAAAGACGGUCCGGGCUGCGAAAAUGAAGACCCAGCCUUCGGGUAGUCCCACUUUCUGGUUCCCCUGAACACCUCAAUGCUAGAUCAGCCAUUAAAAUGCAUUAUAUAUAUAUAAAUUUUCCUUCUUCAUCACUAGUUA
rnacentral:lncRNA from 1 species